rnacentral:rRNA from 1 species
AGAGCGAACGCUGGCGGCAGGCCUAACACAUGCAAGUCGAGCGCCCCGCAAGGGGAGCGGCAGACGGGAGAGUAACACGUGGGAACAUGCCCUUCAGUCCGGAACAACCCAGGGAAACUUGGGCUAAUACCGGAUACGUCCGUAAGGAGAAAGAUUUAUCGCUGAAGGAUUGGCCCGCGUCUGAUUAGCUAGUUGGUGAGGUAACGGCUCACCAAGGCGACGAUCAGUAGCUGGUCUGAGAGGAUGAUCAGCCUCACUGGGACUGAGACACGGCCCAGACUCCUACGGGAGGCAGCAGUGGGGAAUAUUGGACAAUGGGCGCAAGCCUGAUCCAGCCAUGCCGCGUGGGUGAUGAAGGCCCUAGGGUUGUAAAGCCCUUUCGGCGGGGAAGAUAAUGACGGUACCGCAGAAGAGCCCGGCUAACUCGCGCCAGCAGCCGC